rnacentral:rRNA from 1 species
GAAGGUGGCAAGCGUUGUUCGGAUUUACUGGGCGUACAGGGAGCGUAGGCGGUUGGAUAAGCCCUCCGUGAAAUCUCCAGGCUUAACCUGGAAAGUGCAGAGGGGACUGUUCAGCUAGAGGAUGGGAGAGGAGCGCGGAAUUCCCGGUGUAGCGGUGAAAUGCGUAGAGAUCGGGAGGAAGGCCGGUGGCGAAGGCGGCGCUCUGGAACAUUUCUGACGCUGAGGCUCGAAAGCGUCGGGAGCAAACAGGAUUAGAUACCCUGGUAGUCCACGCCUUAAACGAUGGAUACUAAGUGUCGGCGGGUUACCGCCGGUGCCGCAGCUAACGCAGUAAGUAUCCCGCCUGGGAAGUACGGCCGCAAGGUUG